AGUGUGGCUAUGACUUGGAGCUGCUCACCAGUUCCAGUCAUUCUGUGGUUGAGAGCUGCUCCCUAUGGAUGUUAAUUCUUCUCUAUUUUAGAUUUUCCACAGGUGUGGGCCCCAUUAGCUCUGGCCACCUGAGAAAGCCCUCAGGCAAAGAGUCGCAGGUGAAAGCCAGCAGUUAGAGGUUCACAGAAAUGAGUGCAGAAGCAUCUUCAGUUGGAGAGCCAUUGCCUCUUGCUGUGAAAUAUUUGGGAAUCUUCAGAAACCAUGAAGAAUAACCUGCUAAAGGUAAUAAUCAUACAGAAUUAGAUUCUGAUGCUUGCUUGGGAAGGUGUAUGGUGGUUUCUCCCACCAAAGUAAAAAUGUCUUCUUAUCUGGAAAACUGCAGUGACUCUCCACCCCUCUGCCCUGGUCCUUUCCAUUGUUAGACUAUUUCCUGCUGUACUGAAUUGAAUCUUCCUUUUAUCAAUUAUUUCCCUUUAGAUUGAUGAGUGAAAAUCCAUCUUAAGAUGGAUUAAAGUACUGCUUUCCAAAAGUUGAAGAUAACUCUCAUGUCAACUUAUCCAGAGGAAAACAUUUACAUAGUUCUAUAUUCUUCAGACUCUUCUAUGGCUUUUUCAUAGUAUCAACAUAGGUAAACUCAUUAGUCUGUUGUGAAAGAAACAAAAGAUGCCUACUCUAGGUAAUGGGCUAGGUACUUACAAACACAUAUUUUCAUUUUAUUUUUAUAGUAAUCUGAGGAAGAUGUGAUCAAUCAGUAGUCCGAAUGGUAAGGUUAAGUAAGUUGCUCCAACCAGACUAGUGAGUGGCUGAGCUGGUAUUCCCAAGCAGAGCCUUUGACUUCAUCUUCAGGUGUCUCCACUUCUCCAUUGCUACCGUAAGAGUGACUGGCCACCUAUGAGAUACUAAUUAAAGGAUUGGCAUUUACAGCAGCAGUGCUCAGACUUGAGUGGGUGGCCGAGUCACCUGCGGGGGGCAUGUUGAAACACAGAUUUCUGCAUCCUACUCCAGAGUUUCAGAUUCAGCAUGUCUGGGAUGAGGCCCAAGAAUGUGCAUUUCUACACAUCUCCAGAUGGUGCUAAUGCUGAUGUCUGGAGACCACAUUUCGAGAAUCACUGAUUUAGAGUUCCUCAGCAUUUGUCUGCAGGACCCUGUAAUCAGAUCAAUACCCUUGAUUAACAGGAAAACAAUAGAAAGCACUGCCUUUCCCAGGAAGCCUACUCUCAUGUAGUAAGGCCUCUUCUGCCCCCUACACCAUCCUCCAACUUCCCUGUUUUCACACUCUCACAAGCCAUCACCCUUUUAAUUCUAUAAUCAACUGAGCCUAU
ensembl:lncRNA LINC00534 long intergenic non-protein coding RNA 534